rnacentral:rRNA from 1 species
CACCGCCCGUCAAGUCAUGGAAGUUGGUUUUACCUGAAGAUGGUGGCCUAACUCGCAAGAGAGGGAGCCAGCCACGGUAGGAUCAAUGACUGGGACU